rnacentral:rRNA from 1 species
GACGAACGCUGGCGGCGUGCUUAACACAUGCAAGUCGAACGGAAAGGCCCUGCUUUUGUGGGGUGCUCGAGUGGCGAACGGGUGAGUAACACGUGAGUAACCUGCCCUUGACUUUGGGAUAACUUCAGGAAACUGGGGCUAAUACCGGAUAGGAGCUCCUGCUGCAUGGUGGGGGUUGGAAAGUUUCGGCGGUUGGGGAUGGACUCGCGGCUUAUCAGCUUGUUGGUGGGGUAGUGGCUUACCAAGGCUUUGACGGAUAGCCGGCCUGAGAGGGUGACCGGCCUCAUUGGGACUGAGAUAUGGCCCAGACUCCUACGGGAGGCAGCAGUGGGGAAUAUUGCACAAUGGGCGGAAGCCUGAUGCAGCAACGCCGCGUGCGGGAUGACGGCCUUCGGGUUGUAAACCGCUUUCGCCUGUGACGAAGCGUGAGUGACGGUAAUGGGUAAAGAAGCACCGGCUAACUACGUG